rnacentral:sRNA from 1 species
UUUUAGCCCUGACUGAAACGGCAUCUAUUUUUGAGGUACGAAAAAAGAUACAGCGGAAGGCAGGUAGCUUC